rnacentral:tRNA from 1 species
GUCCCCAUCGUCUAGAGGCCUAGGACGCCACCCUUUCACGGUGGAAACAGGGGUUCGACUCCCCUUGGGGAUACCA